rnacentral:tRNA from 1 species
AUUUAUAUAGUUUAAUAAAACAUUACAUUUUCAUUGUAAAAUUAAGAAUUUAAUUCUUUGUAAAUA